CAAGGAAUAGUUUAUUAAAAUUUUAAUUUUGGGGAUUAAAGAUAGGAGUUAUCCUUUCCUUGA
rnacentral:tRNA from 1 species